rnacentral:rRNA from 1 species
GGACUACUGGGGUAUCUAAUCCUGUUUGCUCCCCACGCUUUCGCGCCUCAGCGUCAAUGUCGGUCCAGUUGGCCGCCUUCGCCACGGGUGUUCUUUCCAAUCUCUACGAAUUUCACCUCUACACUGGAAAUUCCACCAACCUCUACCGAAUUCAAGCGAGACAGUCUUGAGUGCAAUUCCCGGGUUGAGCCCAGGGCUUUCACACCCAACUUGUCAAGCCGCCUACGCGCCCUUUACGCCCAGUAAUUCCGAACAACGCUAGCUCCCUUCGUAUUACCGCGGCUGCUGGCAC